rnacentral:lncRNA from 1 species
UGGUCCGUCACGUGGGUCCCGGAGAAUAAAGCAGGAGGAGGGAGGAAGUCCUCGAAAUGAGACGGCCAGGGACGGCCAGCAGCUGAUAGGCUGGGUUUUGAGCAGGGAGGAAGAGGAACGCCUUUGACGCCCAGGGCAUGCUGCCCCCUGCAGGAUGCUGCAGCCUGCGGGGUGUACAAGAGGAGAGAACACCCUGGAGAGAGGGCACCGGGCGAGGUGGGCAGUCGGGCAGAGCCAGGAGACCAUGCCCAGGAGAGAAUGGAACUCUGCUGGACAUCCCAGAGCCCUCUUCAAGGCAGAGAGCCCAUUGGCAGGCCCCACG